GGACAACAGCACAUGACACGACAUCUAUUCGUCACACCACUCCAGAAGGGAGUCGGAGGACGAGCUGUCCCCCCAAAACGCUCUUCACAUAAUAGUAACAGAAGUCGGCUAGGAUAAAAGUCUGCACAAUUUCUGAGAUUAGAACCAUAGAUGGCCAUAACCCAUAACCGAGAGCUACUAGAAGAUGUCCACGACUAUCCAAGACCUGGAGAACCCAAUGAGCGCAGCUAAGGAAUCUUGCAAUUCCCAAUGCAAAUACAUAGUGAGCAGUAAACGGUUCGACAAUCUUAGUGUUCUGCAUCACUCGCAACUGGGGCAACACUGAAACAGCUUCCAGAUAC
rnacentral:misc_RNA from 1 species